GUGCCAGCCGCCGCGGUAAUACCGGCAGCUCAAGUGAUGUCCCAUAUUAUUGGGCCUAAAGCGUCCGUAGCUGGCCGACCAAGUCUCCCGGGAAAUCCACCCGCCCAACGGGUGGGCGUCCGGUGGAAACUGCGUGGCUUGGGACCGGAAGGCGCGACGGGUACGUCCGGGGUAGGAGUGAAAUCCCAUAAUCCCGCACGGACCACCGAUGGCGAAAGCACUUCGAGAAAACGGAUCCGACAGUGAGGGACGAAAGCCAGGGUCUCCAACCGGAUUAGAUACCCGGGUAGUCC
rnacentral:rRNA from 1 species